AAUUAAGUUUAGUUUAGUUUAUGCCAAAUCCAUUGACGUAAUAGCCAGAGUAAACGUUGGACAGGAAGGACGUUUACUACAGUUAAUAAAUAAUAGCAUGAUAUAGACUGUGUGGAGAACACAUGUUAGAGAGUUAAGUUUACGCUCUUGAAGAGGUAACAUCAACGACGAAGUCAGAUCAAGAUAGAAAUAUUAAGUGUGAUAUAUAAUCUAUAUAUAAUCAAUCAAAGUUUAUAUAACUAUAAUAAAUAAAGUUUUGGAGCAACUAUUGUGUAUGCAUUGGUAAUCCUAACUGGCAAAAAGUAACCUGUAU